UGUAACUUCUAUUGAUAAAGGUCAGAAAUCAACAAAAGAGGACUCUGAUGCUCCGAAACCUCUUGCUCGAGCUAUCUUCAUUUUGUUGUGAGCUACCUUUUCUUUUACUAUUAUCACCAUUUAGUUAUUUUGUUUGGAAGGUUAGUGAUGACUUGGUGCUUACUCUGUUAUAGUUUUGAAUGUUUUGUUGCUUUGUGUAUGAUUAGCAAAACCAAAAUUGUUUGACUUUGAUCUGGGCCUAAUUUCAGAACCCAUGCCAUUUCUACAAUUCUUACUAUAAUUUUUGUGGUGUUUUUUCUCUGUAGACUUUAUGCCUACAAGCUUGUAAAGGAUGCAGUCCAUUUUAGCGGGCCGGUUUUUAUAUAGUUCAUAGGAAUAUCAAUGUUUAUCUUCACUGGAAUAUAUAGUACCAAAUAUUGCAAUUUUGAGCAUCUUAUCUUUACCAAGAUGCAUGUUCUAUGACCAUAACUGGGCUAUGGACAGAAUUAGCCAAGCAAAAUACUCCCUCCAUUUGUUUGAUAACCAAUUCAGGGAAGUUGAUUUGUAAAAAUCAGGUCUGUUUAGGACAUUGAAUGAGACAUUUGUAAAGAACUAGCUAUAACACAUGCCUUUUUUUCUUUUUGUCAACAUAUAGCACUUGUCUUAUGAUAUUAUAGAUUCGAUUAGUUUGGCUAGACUCCUCUAAACACAUGGUCUUUUUUUGUUUUCUCUAGAAAUACUCCCUAAUUAGUUUGUCAAUGUCUAGUUAUUUAUUUUAAAAGCACUAAUUACUUUAAAUAAUGUAAGUUUGUGAAGCCUAGUACAGUGAGUUUGGUUUGUGAUUUUGGUGAUUGUAUACCAUUUUCCGGAAAGUAGAGUGACAUUUGAGUCUUUAUUUGUUCUUUGAAAUUGUUGCAGAUUUCAGAGGCCCUAGAGCCAUAACUUCUUUGAUGCUGGGAUUGGAGUCUCUGAUAGGAGACUAGGAUCAUUUCUGUCAUGAAGAUUACAACUAAAGAAAAGCCAAUCUUAAUUAUGUUGUUGUUACGUUGACUGUUCAUUUUUCUAUCUGUAAACAGUUAUUUUUCCUCAUAGGUAUCAGAUAUUGGAUUCUCCCAGACAUUUCUUUGUAGAAGAAAAAUAAUUUGGAGUUCUCACAAUACCCUCAAUCUGCAGCUUUGGGUAAUGAGAAGGCAAACAAUUAUUGGGAAAAAGGUUGCCACCAAAUGCAGACAGAAGUGCGAUUGAGAAGUUUAUUCGUGUCAAGUAAUUACUAGAUGAAGAAUGACUCUGAUCUUUAUGAGGAACUUGGAUAGUUAGUUAAUACAUAUAUCUAUGAGCUAUUAGAAUGAUUUUUUGUGUUUUAAUGUAUGGAUGAUUGGAAAAUACAUCCUUUAUUAGAACUUUGAUUCUUUAAUGUAUGAAUUGGAGUACUUCAA